rnacentral:rRNA from 1 species
GACGACCGCUGGCGGCGUGCCUAAUACAUGCAAGUAGAACGCAGUUGCGAACGGGUGAGUAACGCGUAGGUAACUGCCUCAUAGCGGGGGAUAACUAUUGGAAACGAUAGCUAAUACCUCAUACUGUGAGAUGGACCUGCGUUGUAUUAGCUAGUUGGUGCGGUAAAUGCUCACCAAGGCGACGAUACAUAGCCGACCUGCGAGGGUAAUCCGCCUGACGGCACCUACGACACGGCCCAGACUCCUACUGGAGUCAGCAGUAGGGAAUCUGCGGCAAUGGACGAAAGUCUGACCGAGCAACGCCGCGUGAGUGAAUAAGGUUUUCGGAUCGUAAAACUCUGUUGUUAGAGAAGCGUUAUCUAACCAGAAAGCCACGGCAAACUACGUGCCAGCGGCCGCGGUAAUAC